rnacentral:lncRNA from 1 species
CUGUAUAUGGAAAUAUUCGUGUUUAUUAAUUUUUGUCAAGUUUAUAAUUAAAAAAAUAAAAGGAUAUUAAAGUCUAAAAGGAAAUACGUAAACUGCGUUUGUGGUGACAGGCAAAUUAGGUGCUGGGCAGGAAGAGUCUUUCAGGCGGUAGAGGGUCUCAAAAAGCUCUGGACAGAUCUCGCUUCCAGCAGUGUCCUCGCUCCUCCUCCAAUGACAUGCGCAAUGGCGAUCGAGCGGAGCUUUCCCUAAGGGGCUCCGUUUGUGGUUGGGCCUACUGAGAGGUAGGUAUAGGAUGCCUGGCCGGGUAGGGGGUAGGGUGUGCAGGGGAAGGUGGAGGGGAAAUGUGCAAAUGCCGGAGUGGGAGUGGGUAUCGCGACUUCAGGGGAAGAAGGUCGCUGUUGGGCCGCCUAACGGAAGCAACAUGAGCCCUAAAAUUUUGGGGAACCUUAGUGCCAAGGCCCCGCCUCUGCAGGAGACCUUCUGAAGGGAGGCCAGGGAUGCGUGCGCAGCUCCGAUACCAUUUCUGGACGCCUUGGUUCGGUGUAGGACAUCCGUCCUGCGAUCCUAUCUCCAGCGGAGGCAGGUUCCGGAACGCGGAAGGGGCAGGAGACUUGAACGGAAGCUUCCGCCAGCAAACUUUACUGAGUCCUCACUGUUACACAGAACGUGACCACUGCAAGGCACCUUUGAUAUCCUUCAGUACAACCCUCAUUUUACAGAUGAAGAAACUCAGAGACAAAAUGACUUUAGAUAGGUCACACAGCUGGUAACUGGCAGAGCCAGGUCAGAAAGCUAGAUCUCCUUACACCAAGUACCCGUGCUCUCUCCGUGAAACCAUGCCCCUGCUUACUCAGUGCCUUGGUUUUUUUUGAGUCCCCUGAGGUCUGAUUGUGUAACUGAAUCUGUUAUGGCCCUCCUGCUACUACUGAUGUGUCUCUGCUGUCAGUAACGUUUACCUGAGUGUUUAGUUUGUGUGAAAAAUGCACAUUCCUUGCUGUGGAUGCAGAUUUGAACCUUUAAUGAGGCUUUUUUUUUUUGGCAAGGCAAUUGGGGUUAAGUGACUUGCCCAGGGUCACACAGCUAGUAAGUGUCGAGUAUCAGUUCUGAUACAGGGUUUGAACUCAAGUCCUCCUGACUCUAGUGCUAGUGCUCUAUCCACUGCGCCACCUAGCUGCCCCCCUUAAUGAGGCUUUUGCUGAAGAAAUGCUUACCUUGGACAUGAAGAUAAUUUUUCAAGUCAUCCAGAAACCAAAUUUUAUCAAAAAGCAAACAGUCCUAGGUCAGGUAUACCAUCUUUGGAGAGCAGAAAACAGUCCAAAAAAUAAACAUAGCCACCUGCAUUUUAUAAUUAGGAAA